CUGCUCAGAAGCCUCGUCCAUCAAGAAAUCGGUCUGUCGAGAAACCAAGCACUACACUUGGAGGGUUGGAGAACUCAGGUUUAUUAAGUCGGCGGCCUCAGACAAGCUAACACUCCAAAAUUCUGGACCCCAAACUCAGGAACUGAAACCAUCUUCCCCAUCUAACAGAAGAUGCCAACUGCUGGAUGAAGCAUUCUUCACUCCAGACAAGGCCACAGUUUGAUAACCUCCAGGAGCUCAUCGGAGACCACCUGCGGCCAGACUAAAGGAGUGCAGGCCCUGCACACACACUGACCCUUAUCAGCAACCCCACCCUUGAACCAUCACUACAAAACUCCUCACCAAAUCCCCCUGGGUCGGGACACACAGUUCUGAGGGCAGGAGCCCGUUGUGUCCCCCUUUGCCUGACAAAGCAAUAAAGCUGUUCUUUCCUGCU